UGGGUAACCUGCCUCAAAGAGGGGAAUAGCCUCCCGGAAAGGGAGAUUAAUACCGCAUAAUAUGUUUAGGUCGCAUGACUUUAACAUCAAAGGAUUUCUUUUAAGAAAUUCCACUUUGAGAUCGGACCCGCGGCGCAUUAGCUAGUUGGUGAGGUAACGGCUCACCAAGGCAACGNUGCGUAGCCGACCUGAGAGGUNAUCGCANUGANNANCACGGUCCAGCUCCGUAGGGACGG
rnacentral:rRNA from 1 species